rnacentral:lncRNA from 1 species
GUGGUUUUUAUUGCGGGCCAUUUUUUAAAUUAAAUUUUCCAAUAGCAAUAUCAUUUUCACUAUAUAGCACUCUAGCUGCUAAUAAAAAUGACACUAUGCUAAUAUUUAAAUAGUUAUAUCUUUUUUUUUUGGUACCAGGGAUCGAACUCAGGUCCUUGCACUUGCGCAGCAGGCAGUGAAACCACUGAGCUAAAUCUCUGGCCCUAAAUAGUUGUAUUUUAAACAUAUGUGUUCACAUACAUUAUUUUGUCUUUUUUUUUUUUUUUUUUUUUUGGUACCGAGGAUCGAACUCGGGACCUUGUGCUUGCAAGGCAGGCAGCGGAACCACUGAGCUAAAUCCCUGGCCCUAUUUUAUUGUCUUUAGACAAUAUCUCUUGUAUUUUAUCUAUUUCAUUCCAACCAACUGCCUAUGCUAUUCUAAUAGUUGCAUCCGCUAAUUUCUCUUCAUUGAAACGAUAAAGUUGUUUAUAAGCGCCCUAAAAAAUUCAGAAUGUAUUACCUACAUAUUAUACAUUGAUUUGCAUGAAGAAUAUGUUUUUAAAAAGAAAAAUUAUUUUCAAUAUUUAUAUAUAUCUUACAAUACAGUCUUGAACUGAAUUUUUAGUAAACUAUGUUGCAACAUUUUACCAAUGUUCUUUGGUUCAGUAUAAAUGAUAUGGUAAAUUUGCAUUCAAAUUCAUGGAACUUUUCAAAUCUGUUUCCCAUUUAGCUGGCCAGCCAAAAACAAUAUUUUCAUUUGUAAACAGCUGUUUCAUAAUCAGCUCCUUGGUACUGUGUGGAAUUCCAUAAAAGAUAGAAAUUUUUAUUUAAAAUACAGGAAUUGCAUUAAUCCACUGCAAGUCAUUGAUUAGUUUUUGUAUACUACCACAUAGUUUAGCUUAUAGGGAAAGAUUUUAAGGAAAAUUUAAUCUUGUGUCCAAAUAUAACAUUACUUUAAACAUGAGGUCAUCUAAACAUCUGUCUCCAAUAUAUCACUGGGGAUUUAAAUCAAAAGUCUGCUAAACAUG